rnacentral:rRNA from 1 species
GACAGAGGGUGCAAACGUUGUUCGGAAUUACUGGGCGUAAAGCGUGUGUAGGCGGUCCGCUAAGUCGGGUGUGAAAUCCCUGGGCUCAACCCAGGAAGUGCACUCGAAACUGGCGGGCUAGAGUAUCGGAGAGGUUGGUGGAAUUCUCGGUGUAGAGGUGAAAUUCGUAGAUAUCGAGAGGAACACCGGUGGCGAAGGCGGCAUCCUGGACCGACACUGACGCUGAGGCGCGAAAGCUAGGGGAGCAAACGGG